CCUUGAUCCUCACAUUGUCCUUAACAUUCCACUUCACCCUUACUAACUUGUUGCGUUACAUAUGGCAGAGGAAGCUUUAAAGCGAGAGGACCCAGUAAUUGUAUUAUCUUAUUUUAACUCUGGCAUUGAUUUUCUCUGUCUCAGGUCAUUCUCUGUGCCAGCCAGCUAUAUUGCCUUUUGUUCCUUAGAAUACUUUUCCUUUUUUUUAUGAGAUGAGGGAAAUAAGUUAAAAAUAAUGACUUUCUAUCCG